rnacentral:rRNA from 1 species
AGCGAACGCUGGCGGCAGGCUUAACACAUACAAGUCGAGCGGGCACUUUCGGGUGUCAGCGGCGGACGGGUGAGUAACGCGUGGGAACGUGCCCUCUGGUUCGGAAUAACUCAGGGAAACUUGAGCUAAUACCGGAUACGCCCUUUUGGGGAAAGGCUUGCUGCCGGAGGAUCGGCCCGCGUCUGAUUAGCUAGUUGGUGAGGUAACGGCUCACCAAGGCGACGAUCAGUAGCUGGUCUGAGAGGAUGAUCAGCCACACUGGGACUGAGACACGGCCCAGACUCCUACGGGAGGCAGCAGUGGGGAAUAUUGGACAAUGGGCGCAAGCCUGAUCCAGCCAUGCCGCGUGAGUGAUGAAGGCCUUAGGGUUGUAAAGCUCUUUUAUCCGGGACGAUAAUGACGGUACCGGAGGAAUAAGCCCCGGCUAACUUCGUG